UCUUCUACAACCCAAAAAGUGACAUACCAAUAGAGCCAGCAAAGGAGCUUGUAAAGCCAAAUAGGCCUGCACUCUACACUGCCAUGACCUUUGAUCAAUACAGACUCUUCAUUAGAUUGAGAGGACCUUGUGGAAAAUCUCAAGUGGAAUCUUUAAAAUCUCCAAGAUGAUUGAUGAACAGAAACAUUGGUUAUCUUGUCCAAUCACACGUCAAAUAUAUAUAUAUAUAUAUAUAUAUAUACCCUCUCAAGCAGAUAAGUUGUUUCAGAAUUUGAAGAUAUAAUCUACUUGUUAUUAAGUAACAACCUUACUGUUAUAUCGAGGAUCACCAUCUCACUUGAUAUUGUGCAUUAUUUAUACUAAACUAAUUAUAAAAAUAAAUAUGCAUUUGACAGUGCACAAAUGGGUUGUGAUUUUGACAUGGAAAUCCAUCCAUCAUAUUUUGGAUCUAACCGUGAAUAGGGUCAAAUGGAAACGCAUGUGUUAGUGCAUGCUUGCAAUUUAACGAAAAAGUUCUAAUCACUUAGCAUUUCAUUAAUUUUAUAAAGCUCCCAUUUUCUAUGGACGCAAUAGUCUUCCAUCUUGAUUCAUGACACAGAUUCAUAAAACUUGAAGCUCAUUUGCCAUUAUGAGUUAAUAGUGGCUUGGUUUCUUUAAAUCUUUAAUCCCUCAAAUUUUGUGUUUUUUUAUUUUAGUAGGUUAAAUGUUUUUUAUUUUUAUUUUUUUCAAAAGAGGGUGAGGUUGAAAUAAUGAUAAGUUUGUUACUUAGUAACCAUGAGGUUCACAGAUCCAAAUCUUGAAAAUAGUCUCUCCACUUGCGGGAUAAACAACAUACAACUGUCAUCUCCAAAUCACACUAAGUGGGAGUUUCAUUUAAAAGGAUGUCAUUAACCCACAUUAGGGACUAGAAUCAAAUAUCUUAAAAUUGUGAAGGCUCACAGUGUCGAACCAAAUUUUUUUGGUGUAGAAGCAAAAGUACACAAUAUUUCAGGGACUAAAAACUUCAAAAGUCUAACACCUUCUAUGAUUACUAUCCGCAAGGAUAAAGUUCUUUCUAGUACAGAAAAUCCUAGCAAAAAAGAGCAAUCAUCAUGUAAAAGUAUAUAUCAAUUGUAAAGGAAAAAACUUAUUAGGAUCCUUAAUGUAUAACCAUUUAUUUAUUUAUACUAACAACAAUCAGCAUGGUGAUAUACCUAUAGAACAGAAAGAUAAUAAUUCAUUACAAUUUACAAGAGUAAUAUUUCAUCAUACAUUACUUGACAAAGAUUACCUUCACCUUUGAUCUCAAGAAACAGCAACAUGAAAACAUAUAUAGCCUUUGUUGUGAAACUGUAGUAAUCUGGUCUCACAAAAACCAUUGAGUGCAAAGACCACUAGUAUAGUAGUGUUGUCCUUACCUGUAAUGAAACAGGUAACUUUGGCUUAGAAUUUCCCUUAUUUGGUAACAUUUAAAAGAGGGUCAUAUUGCAGAGGCAUAUAGAUGUAAAUGAUGUUACAAUAACUUUCAUAGCAAUGAAAAAUGGUAAACUGGUGCUGCCCCUUCUGUUAGAUUUAUGGUCACCCUUCUCUCCUAGCCUGUUAAAUCAUAUUGAUGGAGAAUUAUAAAAUCUGGUUCCAAAAAAUCUUGCACCAUGUGAUUAUAUAUAAAAAGGACGGUUCAGUGCACGAGGCUUCCACUUGGUGGAGUCUAGGGAGGGUACAUGUACACAAUCUUACCCUGCAAGCGGAGAGACUAUUUCCGGGAUUUGAACCCGUAUCCUCAUGGUCACUAAGCAACAACCUUAUCAUUAUGCCAAGCUCAUGGUAUGUUUGAGACUUCCAACUUCUAUACAUCGCUUUUUUCCCACAAAAUAACUUUUCUUUGUAAUUUAAUCGGGUUUGCCAUAUAUAUAAGAUUAAAAAUAGUUGUUUUAACUUUUAAGUAAAAAUAUUGUUGUCUGUGCCAAACAUGCUCAGAUACGUUUCCAUGUCAGAUUAAUUUCAGUAAACUGUUGAUUCCCUAUUCUACUUACUAUAAAUUUCCCCUCAGUCUGUGAAGGUUAUUGCAUAUAUAGUUAAAUAUCAACCAGCAACAACACAUUAUCAAUAAUAGCAUGCUGAUAAAAUGCCAGUAAUUCUCACAAGCAGAGUAUUCUAUAUGCCUAAAGGGAAACGUAGUUAUAGCAAACCAUAAAGCAAGGAAGACACGUCAGGAUUACGGAGAAAAAGCUAAAGAAGUUAACAAGCAUGUCAGGGUUGAGGCGAACCUUGGUGAAGACAAACAGUUGGAAGAGCUAGGAAAUCCAGCAAACACAUUUGAGUAGGACUUCGUCAGAUAUGAAAAAUUGGCAACCGGAGGCAGCGAAGGUAUCCUUUCGCCCUUCUUCAAAAGUUCUUGCAGGUUAAUCCUUUGCAAGGUCAAAAUAGCCCUCGACUCCUUCCAAAUGAAGGCAAUGACACCAUUUUGAAAAACAAACAGGGAACCGGGCUUUGAACCAGGGUAUCUGAACCCAUAACCACUUGCAAUACCCUCUCCCAUGAAAGCAUCCUUGAUAUCCACCGGAUUCGAGUCUGCAUCAGUGUCCCAGGGAAAGGAUUCAGAUGAGGGCUCAUUGAUGUUCACUAUAAACAUUGCUGAACCAUUAGGAUGCAAGACAUAGUGAGUGCCUUCCAAUAUUUUGGUUGCGAUGACAAGUUGUUGUCCCUGUGACUCCUCGUAAGAGAGAAGAAGAAGGAAUAAAGCCUUCCCGGGCUUGUCUUCAGAAGGCUUACCAGGAGGCCAACCAAAAGUCCCUCCCCAUAAACCAGCAUAUUCUUGGUCUUCUCUGGGAACUCGUAAAGGCAGCUUGUAAAGUGCAAACUGAUUGUCGUGCAUACUUGGCCAUGCUCGAUAAGAAAACAGCUCUACGGUAGAGGCAUUUAAUAAUAGUCUUAUUGUGUCACUUGAUCUAAGAAAUUCUUGAAGUUGUGCAUGCCUGAUCUCACUGCUUGAAGUAAGCUUAUUAGAAUUUGAAUGACUUCCAUUAAUCGAAUUAGAUCUUCCAAGGAUCUGUUUAAAGCUAUUCCAGAAAUAUCCACCAAUACUUUUUCUCUUGAUGUGUUGUGUUCGAUCAUCCACCUCCUGUAGAGGAUUAUAGAUAGGCCUUGAAUAGACAAGACUCUUUCUGAUAUCAUCCAGUUCUAACUGUUUUGAACUAACCUCCUCUUGAGAACUUGCCUUAUAAUCAAUCUGACUAUAACCAAGAUUGAACAUUUCACUAAGGAGUGAUCGUCUUUCCCACAAGAACACCAAAUCUUUUUUAAAGUUGUUUUCAUCAUCCCUUAACCUAGGAAAUAAUGGUUCAACCACUGUAUCGGGAACCUUUUGUCGAAUUUGGCUAGUAGUAACCUCAAGCAACUUUCUUCUAUCAGUAAAAGCUAAUUUGCUGAAGGAAACCGUUGCCUCAUUAUUCACCCUUUGUGAUCUAGAAAGUUCACUAUUUGACCUACAAACCUUCCUCAAUAACUCCUUGCCCGAGUUAUGUGCCAAUGUUUUACUCGGCAACAAAGUACCAGGAUUUUUUUGUAGUUCAGGUUCAACCUCAAGCAACAGUAAAUUGCAAGAUUUCUCUAUAGGCUUGACCAACCCAGGGUAAAUAUAAUCAAUUUCCUUCUCCCUUCCAUGGAGUAGAAAUGUAGCAGAACCAUCAAAAUCACCAAUCACUUCAAACACAGAUGCCCAAAGGAUGGGACCUUCUUCAAUACCCAAUGGACCAAGCUCCUGAGGAAUUAUCCGGCAACCAACAACCGAAAUGAAUCCAGGCAUGACAUACACCACAUUCCCAAGCUCCGGAUUCUGAUGAACCCAUAUUCCAAUCAAGGGCUGAACGCUCACUAGAAAACGGCAAAGUGCUUUAUAAGAAGACACACCCUUUCUCCACUCAACAAGGUCCUCAUGAGGCACUAUGCCCAAAGCAUCACAUUCAGUGAGCCAGAUUUUCUCAGAAGCCACAAGUGCAUUCAAACUCCUGCAGCACAAACCCAGAUUACACACAUCUCUCGGCGAGAGGAACCGGGCAACGAUGGCAAACACAUCAUCAGGCAGAGAAAGAAGCAAGCUUGAAUCACAGUGAUCAUUUAACAUACUGAUCCAAACCAACUGAAAACUUAUGGUAAAAAAUCGAAGUUUCAAAAACUAUUCAUAAAAUUUGCACACUUCAAUGCAUACCCACAAUUCCAAAUUAAGCACAGUACUCAAAGUAAAAUACUGAUCCCACCCAACUGAAAACUUAUUGAAAAAAACCAACUUUCAAAAACUAUUCAUCAAAUUUCCACAAUUCACCGUAUACCCACCAUUCCAAAAUCAUAAAAAUGAAAAGUUCAGCUGAAAUAGCAACAAACCGCGAAAAAAUUUCCUGAACCCAGUGAGGUCUAAGGUGCUUGGAAAUGGGAAAAGCCUACACUUUCAAUUGAGUCAAGUGAAAAUUGAAAAGGGGAACCUAACUCAGCGAAUGAAAUUCAAUUAUUGGGUGUACCAAACAUGAAUGAAAGAGACAAAUGAACAUACCAAAUACCCAAUUGAAUUUGUUAGAAGAAAAAAGGAAUAGCAAAGAAAAAACUGAGAAUUAAAAUGGAGGAAGGGUUCUGAAAAUAGAAAGAGACAACCUUGUGGUCAAGUCAUGACUCUGAACACAAUUCACUCAAAGAGGGGAAUUAUGCAUUUUUGUUCAAUGUUGGUGAAGAUAACAAUAAUAAUAGUGUGAGGUGUGUAAUGGUUGUAUUAUUGUCUUGUCUCUUUCUUUUUCUCUGCCAACCAAGAUUAAUUCACCUUAUUAUGGUUUUGGGAAUAAAGUAUAUCAUUUAUAUAUAAGUUAUCUCAUUUACCGACAUAUAUAAUUUUUUAUGAGGCGAUAUUUUAUCUUUAUAAUUUUUAGUGUAUUUAAUAUCUUUGCACAUGAAUAUUAUUAAUGUAAAUUUCAAUUUACUAAUUAUAUGAAUAAUAUUUAUAAAGUAAGGGGAAUAUUUUAAUGAAUUCACGUUACAAUAAUUUAUGAUCGAUUAUUUUCAUAUUCAUUGGCCGAAUAUUUUAAUAAAUUAAACACAGGGCACAGUAUGUUAAGUGCUUAAAAUUAAUUUCCAUUUAUAAGUUGUUUUUCAUUUAUAAGUUUUUUUAUUAUACUUUAAAUCUUAUAAUUGUUCUUUUAAAAAAAUAUUAAAAAGGGAAGUGUAAAAAGUUGGGAAAAUUGCAUGACUCACAAGCAAUCAAAUGUGAAAGAGUGUACAAGAAUCUUUAAGCUUAAAGAUUAUCUUAUUAAACUUUAAGAGACGUAAUCUUAUCAUGAUGGUCUGAAAAAGACGCAAUUUCAUCAUGAUAGUCGGACUUUACUAACUUUACUAAACCACUAAAGACUCUAUCAAACAUUACCACCAAACCCUUAAAAAUUGAUGUUGUGAAUGUUCUUACUUUUAAAUAUGAUUCUACAAAACUACAUUUAUAUGUGUUAGGUCGAACGCUAAGAUGGAUUUGGGGAACCCAAAACCUAAUAGGUGAGGAAUGUGAUUCAUUUUUUCAACUUCGAGGGAUUCAUAAUUUUAAGUUUGCGGUUUGGAAAGAUAAAACCUGAUCCUAACCCACCUUGUUGCUAGUGACAGAUCUAGGACCUAGAUGAAGGAUGUGCAACAUAUGUAAAAUAUUAAAAUAAGAAAAAAGAUGAAAAUGUGAAAACUCUGUGGCUGAUGCCCUCUCUAGAAAACUUAUAUACUCUGUCAUCUCAAUUAUCAGUAGUGAAGAGGUAGACCUAUGGAAUCAAGAGUUGCAACAGGAUUCAAAAUGGAAGAGGGUCCUUCAGGAAUUGACUGUAUCCCCUAAUUCACACCCUGAUUUUGAAUUGAAAAAGGGAUUAUCUACUAUAAGGGGAGGCUAUAUAGUUUUUUUAUGCAUAACUGUGUAUAACUAGCACAAAAACUUGAAUGCAGGGAAGUAUUUGAUGAAUAUGGAAAAGAGUUAGUGAAACUAUGUGGGAAGUUGAUAAAGGUUAUGUCCAUAAACCUUGGAUUAGAAGAGGAAUAUCUUGAAAAUGCAUUUGGAGGAGAAGACAUUGGUGCGUGUCUAAGAGUGUGCUUUUACCCAAAAUGUCCACAACCAGAAUUGACGCUUGGUUUGUCAUCACACUCAGACCCAGGAGGCAUAACUCUCUUGCUUUCAGAUGAACAUGUCUAUGGUCUUCAAGUUCGAAAAUCCAAUAAUUGGAUUACGGUUAAGCCUGCUCCACAUGCCUUCAUUGUUAAUAUUGGUGACCAAAUUCAGGUAAGUAAUCAAAAUAAUACUGUCCUUUUCUCUAUUCAACUUUUGUUCUUCAUCAUUAUUUAGCCAGUUCAUUCUGAAUGGAUAAAAUCUAUUAGUUUGGAUAUAUGGAUUCAUAUGUGAAAUAUGAUAACAGAUUUAAUCUUAUGUAUAAUAAUAUUUUUCGUUAGAAAUCAAUACAUUCUUAAUAUGAUCAUAAAGUUGAGUAUAAGGGUUUAUCAUUAUGGUCACAUUGAUGAGUUAUGACCAGCCUAUUUUCGACAUACAAAUGUUUGAUUUAUUUAGUAAAUAAGUUGGAUUUGGGAUCUUCAUAGAACCUAUAUGCAACUAUGCAGAUUAAGAUUUGGUUUCUCAAAAAACCUUACCCUAUUAAAUUAGCCUAAUUAAUAAAUACUUAUUUAUAUAAGUAAAAUUUAUAAUGUUUUUUACAAUCAUCUAAUGAUAUAUUAGUAUAAUAUAAUAGUUUUGUCAUUAUAAAAAAAUUGAAAUCAUUUUAUUAUAAAAUAGUUAUAAAAAUUGAUUUUUUCUUAACCUACUAUAUAUAAAGAUAUUCGUUUAUAGUAGAUUUUAAAAUACACAUUCGAAUCAAAUCAAGCUUAUAAAUAGAUUGAACCCAGAUAUGAAACAAAGCUAAUAAUACAAGUAGCAUACCGAAUAUCUAACCUUAUCAACAAGCUUAGAUCUAUUUAUGCAAAGCCUAACCUUAUCAACCCUAUGAGACUAAUAUCUAAUCACUUAUUCUCUAACCAUGGUUCUGAAGAUACAUAUUUUUAACCUGUAUAUUUUAGUAAACACCUCUUCUACCACUCAAUAUGAAACUCAUACUUUAUGUUUGUUUGAGAAGGUUCUAAGCAAUGCAAUCUACAAGAGUGUAGAGCACAGAGUGAUAGUAAAUUCAGAUAAGGAAAGAGUUUCAUUGGCUUUCUUCUACAACCCAAAAAGUGACAUACCAAUAGAGCCAGCAAAGGAGCUUGUAAAGCCAAAUAGGCCUGCACUCUACACUGCCAUGACCUUUGAUCAAUACAGACUCUUCAUUAGAUUGAGAGGACCUUGUGGAAAAUCUCAAGUGGAAUCUUUAAAAUCUCCAAGAUGAUUGAUGAACAGAAACAUUGGUUAUCUUGUCCAAUCACACGUCAAAUAUAUAUAUAUAUAUAUAUAUAUAUACCCUCUCAAGCAGAUAAGUUGUUUCAGAAUUUGAAGAUAUAAUCUACUUGUUAUUAAGUAACAACCUUACUGUUAUAUCGAGGAUCACCAUCUCACUUGAUAUUGUGCAUUAUUUAUACUAAACUAAUUAUAAAAAUAAAUAUGCAUUUGACAGUGCACAAAUGGGUUGUGAUUUUGACAUGGAAAUCCAUCCAUCAUAUUUUGGAUCUAACCGUGAAUAGGGUCAAAUGGAAACGCAUGUGUUAGUGCAUGCUUGCAAUUUAACGAAAAAGUUCUAAUCACUUAGCAUUUCAUUAAUUUUAUAAAGCUCCCAUUUUCUAUGGACGCAAUAGUCUUCCAUCUUGAUUCAUGACACAGAUUCAUAAAACUUGAAGCUCAUUUGCCAUUAUGAGUUAAUAGUGGCUUGGUUUCUUUAAAUCUUUAAUCCCUCAAAUUUUGUGUUUUUUUAUUUUAGUAGGUUAAAUGUUUUUUAUUUUUAUUUUUUUCAAAAGAGGGUGAGGUUGAAAUAAUGAUAAGUUUGUUACUUAGUAACCAUGAGGUUCACAGAUCCAAAUCUUGAAAAUAGUCUCUCCACUUGCGGGAUAAACAACAUACAACUGUCAUCUCCAAAUCACACUAAGUGGGAGUUUCAUUUAAAAGGAUGUCAUUAACCCACAUUAGGGACUAGAAUCAAAUAUCUUAAAAUUGUGAAGGCUCACAGUGUCGAACCAAAUUUUUUUGGUGUAGAAGCAAAAGUACACAAUAUUUCAGGGACUAAAAACUUCAAAAGUCUAACACCUUCUAUGAUUACUAUCCGCAAGGAUAAAGUUCUUUCUAGUACAGAAAAUCCUAGCAAAAAAGAGCAAUCAUCAUGUAAAAGUAUAUAUCAAUUGUAAAGGAAAAAACUUAUUAGGAUCCUUAAUGUAUAACCAUUUAUUUAUUUAUACUAACAACAAUCAGCAUGGUGAUAUACCUAUAGAACAGAAAGAUAAUAAUUCAUUACAAUUUACAAGAGUAAUAUUUCAUCAUACAUUACUUGACAAAGAUUACCUUCACCUUUGAUCUCAAGAAACAGCAACAUGAAAACAUAUAUAGCCUUUGUUGUGAAACUGUAGUAAUCUGGUCUCACAAAAACCAUUGAGUGCAAAGACCACUAGUAUAGUAGUGUUGUCCUUACCUGUAAUGAAACAGGUAACUUUGGCUUAGAAUUUCCCUUAUUUGGUAACAUUUAAAAGAGGGUCAUAUUGCAGAGGCAUAUAGAUGUAAAUGAUGUUACAAUAACUUUCAUAGCAAUGAAAAAUGGUAAACUGGUGCUGCCCCUUCUGUUAGAUUUAUGGUCACCCUUCUCUCCUAGCCUGUUAAAUCAUAUUGAUGGAGAAUUAUAAAAUCUGGUUCCAAAAAAUCUUGCACCAUGUGAUUAUAUAUAAAAAGGACGGUUCAGUGCACGAGGCUUCCACUUGGUGGAGUCUAGGGAGGGUACAUGUACACAAUCUUACCCUGCAAGCGGAGAGACUAUUUCCGGGAUUUGAACCCGUAUCCUCAUGGUCACUAAGCAACAACCUUAUCAUUAUGCCAAGCUCAUGGUAUGUUUGAGACUUCCAACUUCUAUACAUCGCUUUUUUCCCACAAAAUAACUUUUCUUUGUAAUUUAAUCGGGUUUGCCAUAUAUAUAAGAUUAAAAAUAGUUGUUUUAACUUUUAAGUAAAAAUAUUGUUGUCUGUGCCAAACAUGCUCAGAUACGUUUCCAUGUCAGAUUAAUUUCAGUAAACUGUUGAUUCCCUAUUCUACUUACUAUAAAUUUCCCCUCAGUCUGUGAAGGUUAUUGCAUAUAUAGUUAAAUAUCAACCAGCAACAACACAUUAUCAAUAAUAGCAUGCUGAUAAAAUGCCAGUAAUUCUCACAAGCAGAGUAUUCUAUAUGCCUAAAGGGAAACGUAGUUAUAGCAAACCAUAAAGCAAGGAAGACACGUCAGGAUUACGGAGAAAAAGCUAAAGAAGUUAACAAGCAUGUCAGGGUUGAGGCGAACCUUGGUGAAGACAAACAGUUGGAAGAGCUAGGAAAUCCAGCAAACACAUUUGAGUAGGACUUCGUCAGAUAUGAAAAAUUGGCAACCGGAGGCAGCGAAGGUAUCCUUUCGCCCUUCUUCAAAAGUUCUUGCAGGUUAAUCCUUUGCAAGGUCAAAAUAGCCCUCGACUCCUUCCAAAUGAAGGCAAUGACACCAUUUUGAAAAACAAACAGGGAACCGGGCUUUGAACCAGGGUAUCUGAACCCAUAACCACUUGCAAUACCCUCUCCCAUGAAAGCAUCCUUGAUAUCCACCGGAUUCGAGUCUGCAUCAGUGUCCCAGGGAAAGGAUUCAGAUGAGGGCUCAUUGAUGUUCACUAUAAACAUUGCUGAACCAUUAGGAUGCAAGACAUAGUGAGUGCCUUCCAAUAUUUUGGUUGCGAUGACAAGUUGUUGUCCCUGUGACUCCUCGUAAGAGAGAAGAAGAAGGAAUAAAGCCUUCCCGGGCUUGUCUUCAGAAGGCUUACCAGGAGGCCAACCAAAAGUCCCUCCCCAUAAACCAGCAUAUUCUUGGUCUUCUCUGGGAACUCGUAAAGGCAGCUUGUAAAGUGCAAACUGAUUGUCGUGCAUACUUGGCCAUGCUCGAUAAGAAAACAGCUCUACGGUAGAGGCAUUUAAUAAUAGUCUUAUUGUGUCACUUGAUCUAAGAAAUUCUUGAAGUUGUGCAUGCCUGAUCUCACUGCUUGAAGUAAGCUUAUUAGAAUUUGAAUGACUUCCAUUAAUCGAAUUAGAUCUUCCAAGGAUCUGUUUAAAGCUAUUCCAGAAAUAUCCACCAAUACUUUUUCUCUUGAUGUGUUGUGUUCGAUCAUCCACCUCCUGUAGAGGAUUAUAGAUAGGCCUUGAAUAGACAAGACUCUUUCUGAUAUCAUCCAGUUCUAACUGUUUUGAACUAACCUCCUCUUGAGAACUUGCCUUAUAAUCAAUCUGACUAUAACCAAGAUUGAACAUUUCACUAAGGAGUGAUCGUCUUUCCCACAAGAACACCAAAUCUUUUUUAAAGUUGUUUUCAUCAUCCCUUAACCUAGGAAAUAAUGGUUCAACCACUGUAUCGGGAACCUUUUGUCGAAUUUGGCUAGUAGUAACCUCAAGCAACUUUCUUCUAUCAGUAAAAGCUAAUUUGCUGAAGGAAACCGUUGCCUCAUUAUUCACCCUUUGUGAUCUAGAAAGUUCACUAUUUGACCUACAAACCUUCCUCAAUAACUCCUUGCCCGAGUUAUGUGCCAAUGUUUUACUCGGCAACAAAGUACCAGGAUUUUUUUGUAGUUCAGGUUCAACCUCAAGCAACAGUAAAUUGCAAGAUUUCUCUAUAGGCUUGACCAACCCAGGGUAAAUAUAAUCAAUUUCCUUCUCCCUUCCAUGGAGUAGAAAUGUAGCAGAACCAUCAAAAUCACCAAUCACUUCAAACACAGAUGCCCAAAGGAUGGGACCUUCUUCAAUACCCAAUGGACCAAGCUCCUGAGGAAUUAUCCGGCAACCAACAACCGAAAUGAAUCCAGGCAUGACAUACACCACAUUCCCAAGCUCCGGAUUCUGAUGAACCCAUAUUCCAAUCAAGGGCUGAACGCUCACUAGAAAACGGCAAAGUGCUUUAUAAGAAGACACACCCUUUCUCCACUCAACAAGGUCCUCAUGAGGCACUAUGCCCAAAGCAUCACAUUCAGUGAGCCAGAUUUUCUCAGAAGCCACAAGUGCAUUCAAACUCCUGCAGCACAAACCCAGAUUACACACAUCUCUCGGCGAGAGGAACCGGGCAACGAUGGCAAACACAUCAUCAGGCAGAGAAAGAAGCAAGCUUGAAUCACAGUGAUCAUUUAACAUACUGAUCCAAACCAACUGAAAACUUAUGGUAAAAAAUCGAAGUUUCAAAAACUAUUCAUAAAAUUUGCACACUUCAAUGCAUACCCACAAUUCCAAAUUAAGCACAGUACUCAAAGUAAAAUACUGAUCCCACCCAACUGAAAACUUAUUGAAAAAAACCAACUUUCAAAAACUAUUCAUCAAAUUUCCACAAUUCACCGUAUACCCACCAUUCCAAAAUCAUAAAAAUGAAAAGUUCAGCUGAAAUAGCAACAAACCGCGAAAAAAUUUCCUGAACCCAGUGAGGUCUAAGGUGCUUGGAAAUGGGAAAAGCCUACACUUUCAAUUGAGUCAAGUGAAAAUUGAAAAGGGGAACCUAACUCAGCGAAUGAAAUUCAAUUAUUGGGUGUACCAAACAUGAAUGAAAGAGACAAAUGAACAUACCAAAUACCCAAUUGAAUUUGUUAGAAGAAAAAAGGAAUAGCAAAGAAAAAACUGAGAAUUAAAAUGGAGGAAGGGUUCUGAAAAUAGAAAGAGACAACCUUGUGGUCAAGUCAUGACUCUGAACACAAUUCACUCAAAGAGGGGAAUUAUGCAUUUUUGUUCAAUGUUGGUGAAGAUAACAAUAAUAAUAGUGUGAGGUGUGUAAUGGUUGUAUUAUUGUCUUGUCUCUUUCUUUUUCUCUGCCAACCAAGAUUAAUUCACCUUAUUAUGGUUUUGGGAAUAAAGUAUAUCAUUUAUAUAUAAGUUAUCUCAUUUACCGACAUAUAUAAUUUUUUAUGAGGCGAUAUUUUAUCUUUAUAAUUUUUAGUGUAUUUAAUAUCUUUGCACAUGAAUAUUAUUAAUGUAAAUUUCAAUUUACUAAUUAUAUGAAUAAUAUUUAUAAAGUAAGGGGAAUAUUUUAAUGAAUUCACGUUACAAUAAUUUAUGAUCGAUUAUUUUCAUAUUCAUUGGCCGAAUAUUUUAAUAAAUUAAACACAGGGCACAGUAUGUUAAGUGCUUAAAAUUAAUUUCCAUUUAUAAGUUGUUUUUCAUUUAUAAGUUUUUUUAUUAUACUUUAAAUCUUAUAAUUGUUCUUUUAAAAAAAUAUUAAAAAGGGAAGUGUAAAAAGUUGGGAAAAUUGCAUGACUCACAAGCAAUCAAAUGUGAAAGAGUGUACAAGAAUCUUUAAGCUUAAAGAUUAUCUUAUUAAACUUUAAGAGACGUAAUCUUAUCAUGAUGGUCUGAAAAAGACGCAAUUUCAUCAUGAUAGUCGGACUUUACUAACUUUACUAAACCACUAAAGACUCUAUCAAACAUUACCACCAAACCCUUAAAAAUUGAUGUUGUGAAUGUUCUUACUUUUAAAUAUGAUUCUACAAAACUACAUUUAUAUGUGUUAGGUCGAACGCUAAGAUGGAUUUGGGGAACCCAAAACCUAAUAGGUGAGGAAUGUGAUUCAUUUUUUCAACUUCGAGGGAUUCAUAAUUUUAAGUUUGCGGUUUGGAAAGAUAAAACCUGAUCCUAACCCACCUUGUUGCUAGUGACAGAUCUAGGACCUAGAUGAAGGAUGUGCAACAUAUGUAAAAUAUUAAAAUAAGAAAAAAGAUGAAAAUGUUAAUGUCAAAAUUACAAAAUUUAAAUAUAUUUAAUCAAAUAAAUUACAUAUUUCAUAAUUAAUUUCUAUAUGAUUUCACAUUUUGAAAUUGUUGAUUUGUUAUCAAUAUUGUUGAAGACUUUUCGCUAAAAAUAAGUCAUUAGGUAAUUAUUCGUCCAUGCAUUUUUCAUUCGAUAACGCAACCUAUUUUUUACAGUUUUCAUAAUUGGAAAAACUUUUUAAGUUGCAUUGCUAACUUUAAAAGAAGAUAAACUAAUUCGGUAAACAAUAUAAUAAAUCUUCCACUUUCAACCAACUUAUCUUAAAGAUUAUUUAUUCCUUUCAAAUAAGCACCCUAUCAUUAUGGCUGAGUGCCAUGAGACUCCUAUGGGAGGCCAUUAUGGCCAUUUCAGAACAUACAAAAGGAUUUCUAACUUCUUGUUUUGGGAGGGGGUGAGGUUAGACAUUAAAGGGUUUGUGGAGAAUUGUGAGGUGUGUCAAAGAAACAAGUACUCUACAUUGGCCCCUGAUGGGUUACUACAACCUAUUCACAUACCUCAAGAAGUAUGGAUGAAUAUCUCUAUGGACUUCAUAGGGGGACUACCUAAAGUUAAAGCAAGGAUAUUGUUUUUGUAGUGGUGGAUAGGUUAUCCAAAUAUGCUCAUAUGUUUGCUCUAGGUCAUUCCUACUCAGUCAAGGAUGUAGCUACCCUGUUUCUGAAGGAGGUGAUUAAACUACAUGGUUUCCCUACUACUAUAAUGUCUGAUAGAGACUCUGUGUUCCUCAGUCAAUUCUGGAAAGAAAUAUUCAGGGUGACUAGUACUCAACUCAAAUUUAGCACCUCAUACCAUCCCCGAACUGAUGGGUAGACUGGGGUGGUUAAUAGAUGCUUAGAAACCUAUCUCAGGUGUUUUGUGGGACCAAGGUCUAAACAAUGGUUGGAGUGACUCUCAUGGGCAGAAUUUUGGUUCAACUCUAACUACAACAGUUUAGUUGAGAUGACACCCUUUAAAGCCUUGUAUGGUAGGGAAGCACCCACACUCUUGAAGGCAUGGGCUAUUCCCUCUAAGGUGGAUGAGGUAAACAUGUUGUUUGCUCAGGGGGAUGGGGUAUUGGAAGAACUGAAAGAAAAUUUGUUGAAUGCCCAAAAUUUGAUAAAGCAGCAAGCAGAUAAGCACAUGAGGGCUUUGGAAUUUGAGUUGGAAGAUUGGGUAUAUCUAAAGUUGCAACCAUGCAAGCUCAAAUCAUUGGCCAAACGAUCAUAUGCUAAGCUAGCCCCAAAAUAUUAUGGCCCUUACCAAGUGAUUGAGAAGGUGGGACCUAUUGCUUAUAAGUUAGCAUUGCCAUCUCAUGUCAGGAUCCACCCAGUGUUCCAUGUGUCAUUACUGAAGAAGGCCUUAAAACCUCAACAACAGCUUUAACCCUUGCCUCCAAUGUUGAUUUUGGUUAGAGGCAUUUCCUUUCAAUUUUGUUUCUAUAAUUACAAUCCUUGAUACCAGUGUUUAUCAUAUAUCUUCCAUCUAACCAAAAUGUAAUUGCAAUUUGGCUAUAUGUAUUACGGAAAACUUCUUUUACCAACAUUUUGAUUACAUUACCUUGUUGGCUACGAAGGAAAAGACUUGAACCAAGUUGGUUGUAAAAAACUUACUUUAUUGCUAAUAUGGCACAUUUAAGUGCAUAGAUAUAUGCUAAAUAGCUUAAACUUUUAAACCAAGUUGGUCACAAACUUACUUAAGUGCAUUGGUAGCCUCCUUAGUUAUACAUACACCUGUGGAUAUAUCUUUGGAAGACUAAGUUGGUUGGUCGGGAAUAUCCGAAUGCGUUUUACUUUUUGAUGGAAUGAACAAAUUUUGAAAAAUAAAUUCAAAAAAGAUAAAGGACCAAAAUAUAGGUUCAAAAUAAGAUAAACUAUCAAAAGUGUAAUUAUAAUAAUAAAAUUAUCAUUGCUUUUAUGUUUCAAAGUAGUGCUAUUUUUCUAGUCAUAAACCUUGUUUGAGUUAAAAACAUCCGCACCAUAAUAAGAUGAAAUCUCCUAGUAGAACUUAUGCAAGACCUUGAAUCAAUAACUCCUUUGGUAAAGUAGUGUGUUACUUUUACUGAACCUUUAUACUUGAUGUCGUGCAUUAAAAAGGCAGCAAAAUACACAAUACAGACUCUUCAUUAGAUUGAGAGGACCUUGUGGAAAAUCUCAAGUGGAAUCUUUAAAAUCUCCAAGAUGAUUGAUGAACAGAAACAUUGGUUAUCUUGUCCAAUCACACGUCAAAUAUAUAUAUAUAUAUAUAUAUAUAUACCCU
rnacentral:lncRNA from 1 species